rnacentral:tRNA from 1 species
AUGUAUAAAGUAAUUUUUACAGGUUAAUUUCGACUUAAUUUUUGAUUAUAUUUUAAUCUAUACAUU